rnacentral:rRNA from 1 species
AGCGAACGCUGGCGGCAGGCCUAACACAUGCAAGUCGAACGAACUCUUCGGAGUUAGUUGCGGACGGGGGAGUAACACGGGGGAAGGUGCCUGUUGGUACGGAAUAACUCAGGGAAGCUUGUGCUAAUGCCGAAUGUGCUCUUCUGGGGAAAGAUUUAUCGUCAUUAGAGCUGCCCGCGUCUGAUUAGCUUGUUGGUGAUGUAACGGCUCAUCAAGGCGACGAUCAGUAGCUGGGCUGAGAGGAUGACCAGCCACACUGGGACUGGGCCACGGCCCAGACUCCUACGGGAGGCAGCAGUGGGGAAUCUUGCACAAUGGGCGAAAGCAUGACGCAGCCAGGCCGCGUAAAUGAGGAAGGUGUUAGGAAUGUAAAAUUCUUUCACCGGGGACGAUAAUGACGGUACCCGGAGAAGAAGCCCCGGCUAACUUCGUG